GAUGAACGCUAGCUACAGGCUUAACACAUGCAAGUCGAGGGGAAACGACAUCGACAGCUUGCUUUUGCUGGGCGUCGACCGGCGCACGGGUGAGUAACGCGUAUCCCCCCUGCCCAUCACUUGGGAAUAACCUUGCGAAAGUAAGACUAAUACCCAAUGACAUCCCCCGAAGACAUCUGAAUGGGAUUAUAGAUUUAUCGGUGAUGGAUGGGGAUGCGUCUGAUUAGCUUGUUGGCGGGGUAACGGCCCACCAAGGCAACGAUCAGUAGGGGUUCUGAGAGGAAGGUCCCCCACAUUGGAACUGAGACACGGUCCAAAAUCCUACGGGAGGCGGCAGUGAGGAACAUUGGUCAAUGGGCGAGAGCCUGAACCAGCCAAGUAGCGUGCAGGAGGACGGCCCUAUGGGUUGUAAACUGCUUUUAUAAGGGAAUAAAGUGGGUCUCGUGAGACUUUUUGCAGGUACCUUAUGAAUAAGAACCGGCUAAUUCCGUG
rnacentral:rRNA from 1 species